rnacentral:rRNA from 1 species
GAUGAACGCUGGCGGCGUGCCUAAUACAUGCAAGUCGAGCGAACGGACGAGAAGCUUGCUUCUCUGAUGUUAGCGGCGGACGGGUGAGUAACACGUGGAUACCCUACCUAUAAGACUGGGAUAACUUCGGGAAACCGGAGCUAAUACCGGAUAAUAUUUUGAACCGCAUGGUUCAAAAGUGAAAGACGGUCUUGCUGUCACUUAUAGAUGGAUCCGCGCUGCAUUAGCUAGUUGGUAAGGUAACGGCUUACCAAGGCAACGAUGCAUAGCCGACCUGAGAGGGUGAUCGGCCACACUGGAACUGAGACACGGUCCAGACUCCUACGGGAGGCAGCAGUAGGGAAUCUUCCGCAAUGGGCGAAAGCCUGACGGAGCAACGCCGCGUGAGUGAUGAAGGUCUUCGGAUCGUAAAACUCUGUUAUUAGGGAAGAACAUAUGUGUAAGUAACUGUGCACAUCUUGACGGUACCUAAUCAGAAAGCCACGGCUAACUACGUG